rnacentral:tRNA from 1 species
GAGGGUACAGCUCAGUGGUAGAGCAUAUGCUUAACAUGCAUGAGGUCCUGGGCUCAACCCCCAGUACCUCA